AAGGCAUGUGUAACCUUAAAACACAUCUACUGAUUGCAACUCAGACACUUUAAUUAAGCUAAUACCUC
rnacentral:tRNA from 1 species